UGUUUAUCUGCAUCUAUAUACUCUGUAAUUUUUAAUCCUAUCUUUAAUUAUAACACUUGCAUUAGCACGUGCACAUUCUAGUUUAUCUAAAUUUAGGAGUGAGAAUAGGAAAGCAAGAGUGAAAAAAUAAAAGUGAGAAAAUAAGAGUGAACAUUAAUUACAUAACAGAAAAAGAAGGAUAAUUUGUGAUAUUUAGAAAAAAAAAUACUUACUAAUAAAUUUGAAAUACCCAAAAAAAAAAAGAAAAAAAGGGUAUUUUUAUACGUCAAAAUAAAAAGGAACCUCUGUCUGAGUUAAACAGUAGUACUUAUCUGGAAACUUUUAAUUUGCUUCUUCCCUUCAACUUCUUUAGCAGCAAUUCUCUCUGCAUUUUUUGAGAUUUCAACCUGAAAAAUGAUGAAUUAUUCCAUCUCAAUGAAGAAGCAAAAGGAGUGUGAUGAUUCUGAUGAAGAAGGAAAUUGCAAAAAAGAUAAGUUAAGUGAAUUACCAGAUGAAUUAAUUAUCCAAAUUCUUAUCUUUUUGCCAAUUAGAGAUGCUGUUAAAUCUGUCUUACUUCGUCGAUUCGGAAACUUAUGGACAUUAAUUCCUACCCUUAGGUUUGAUAAGAGCAAUAACGAAAUAUUUGUGUUCAAUGUUUUGAAAUUUCACAAAAACCCUAUCCUUGAUAAGUUUGAGUUGUUUUGUUUUGGUGCAAAUUUUUGUGAGUUGUUAAACUUGUACAAGUAUAAACUUUCCAAGCAAAAUUUGAUCAACUUGACAAAAAUUGCCUUAAAAAAAAACCCAAAAGUUGUAAGUGUUAAAAAUGAUGAUUUCCGGACUGGUCCUUAUUAUCUUCCAUCUGAUGCCUUCAGAAAUCGAUAUAUCAUUUCGCUUUAUCUUCAUAACAUUGAGAUUAAAUUCCCAGGUGAAGUUGAUAUGAGUUCAUUAAGGAAAUUGGAACUUGUUCAAGUGAUUAUGUAUGAUGAUACAUUCAGAGUUUUAACAAGUGGGUGUCCUAGAUUACAAGAAUUGGUGAUAAAGUAUUCUCACAAAUUGACUAAGUUGCACUUUACUGCUCCUAACAUUGAAAAAUUGGAGCUUUAUUUUGAUCAUAGUGUAACAUUAAUAGAGGACCAAUCUUACUCAUUGAAUUGCCCCAAUCUCAAGAUCUUGCAUGUUAAAGGAAUAUGUUUGGGAUGUCUACAAGUGAUUAAUGUUUCAUCUGUUCAAGAAGCCAAAAUCAAUCGAUGUACUGAGUGGCCUGGGUGUGAACCGUGUGAUGAAACGAAUGAUAUGGCUCAGGGCGAAUUUGACAAUUUACUCAACAAGCUUCAACAUGUUGAGUUUUUAGAAUUGGAUGAUGGAAAGGGAGCUUACAUUGUGAAUUUUUGCUUCUUUAUUCUAGCUUUUAUUGAAAAAAGAUGCACCCUUCUCUUGUUUUGGUUUAUCUUUGAUUACCAUUAUUACUCCAUAGUAUGAAUUACUCCCUCUUCUUUUAUACUAUUCACUUGCACCAUUUUGACUGAUAUUCGUGCUUCAUAAGAGUUAACAUAGUCAUGUUGCUACAUAUACAUAAUCUGCUUGUACUAUGAUGAUACCUAUGAUGUAAUUAUUCGGUCUCUUGUGUAGCUAAACUGUUUGUCAUUUUUGCAAUUUAUGCACAUUGCACAUAGCUUAGUAAGAAGUUGGAUAAAUUUAAUUGGAUUUAUAUUUGGUAUUGUAAUGUGACAUCUUCAUAUGGUAGAUAGUAUGGUACUGAUGCAUUUAUGUUAGGAAGUUUCAUUUAAUAUCACAUUGGCUGAAUUGCUUAUGUUUUGUAUCAAAAGAAGUUUGCUUUAAAAUGUAUUUUAGAUUAGAGAUAGUACCGAAUUGAAAUCCUCUCCUAUAUAUUCGUGUAUGAAUUACAAUCAUUAUGCUUUGUUGUGGGAUACAAAUUGCUACUUGACCCUAAACGUUAGGGCCGGGCAGGAUUAAAAUUGUUUCUAUAUGUUAGCUUAGGACAGGAGUAUGAAACAUAAUGCUCAUUUCCUUGCAUGUUGUUUUUAUUUAUGGGUGAUCAUUGCUUGGUAAAGCACGCACUAUAACUACUUGUAUAAGACAAUUAUUGGGAUAAAACUAAUGUUGUGUUUCACUCUGUAUCAGCAAUUAAAACCCUGUGGAGAAUAUGGAAAUGAGAAACUGAUUUUUCGAGCACCUGAAAUUUAUUUACUUCUCAAGCCAGGAAUCUAUGGAAGCUGUCUGGUAGACAUUAUCAGGUUGCUAAAAAGCUCAUCGAUCUUGAUGUUAGUUACAUUAUAUGCUGAUGUGGAUUUGUUCUGUGAUUGCAAUAUGCUCAUGCAUGAGCUAUCUUCUCCUUGUGUGCUGGGAAACCUUAGAUCUUUUAUCAUCCGUGAAUACAAGAAGCCAUGUGAAGCCUUCAGUCAGCUGAUAGCAUUUGUGCUUAAAAGUGCAGUCAUAUUGGAAGAAGUGUCUAUUGAAAUCAAUGGAAAGGAUGAGCUGUUUUCAGCAGAGAGCCAAGAAUUCAUUCUGCAGCUGUUAAGCUUCCCAAGGGCAUCACCGAAAGCCAAAGUUGAAAUUCAAGUUAAGUAAUUAUGACUUCAGCAUUGACUGAGAGAAGGAUGUUCCAUCUCUUCCCGCCUGAUGAACUGUUUGAUGCUUACAGUCUGGAAAUUCCGAGCAACAACACGGCAAUUAAGACAAUGUGGAAAUUCGAAACUGGAUUUGGAAGAUAAUAACAAAUGGGUUCGUUUAUCUCUGAGACCAAGAGUCCAUGGAAGCUGCUUACGAAACAUUAUUUGUAAGCUGCUAAAGGCGUCGCAAUGCUUG